rnacentral:lncRNA from 1 species
GGCAUUGGCUCAGAGGAAUUCCACCAACCGGGCCCGAGCUCCCAGGUCGAGAUUGGCGCCGACCCGGAUCGUCCUGUCCGGGCGACCUUCCUUGAGGGGAACUUCGAUCACACCCUCGGCCGGCUCCCCGUGCCGCAAGGCCACCUCGUCUCUGGCGUCGAGGGACUCGACGCUUAAGGCUUCUACGGGCUUCUUUCCUUUGAGAGUUGCUAGGAAACAUUGCCUUGCGGUCGGUUGGUCACCUCGGACCUCUCCAAUCCCGGCCGCCGUGGGGAACCGCAUGAGCAAGUGGUACGUAGAGACCACCGCG